rnacentral:rRNA from 1 species
UACGUAGGCAGCGAGCGUUGUUCGGAGUUACUGGGCGUAAAGGGUGUGUAGGCGGUUCUCUAAGUUUGGUGUGAAAUCUCCCGGCUCAACCGGGAGGGUGCGCCGAAAACUGGGGGACUCGAGUGCGGGAUGGGAGAGUAGAAUUCCUGGUGUAGCGGUAAAAUGCGUAGAUAUCAGGAGGAAUACCGGUGGGGUAGACGGCUCUCUGGACCGCCACUGACGCUGAGACACGAAAGCGUGGGUAGCAAACAGG